ACCCCGGGCAUGCCUCAGUACGGCGAGUGAGCGGCAAGAGCUCAAAUUUGAAAGCUGGCUCCUUCGGGGUCCGCAUUGUAAUUUGCAGAGGAUGCUUCGGGUGCAGCCCCCGUCUAAGUGCCCUGGAACGGGCCGUCAUAGAGGGUGAGAAUCCCGUAUGGGGCGGGGUGUCUGCGUCCGUGUGAAGCUCCUUCGACGAGUCGAGUUGUUUGGGAAUGCAGCUCUAAAUGGGUGGUAAAUUUCAUCUAAAGCUAAAUACUGGCCGGAGACCGAUAGCGCACAAGUAGAGUGAUCGAAAGAUGAAAAGCACUUUGAAAAGAGAGUUAAACAGCACGUGAAAUUGUUGAAAGGGAAGCGCUUGCAACCAGACUCGCUCGCGGGGUUCAGCCGGGCUUCGGCCCGGUGUACUUCCCCGCGGGCGGGCCAGCGUCGGUUUGGGCGGCCGGUCAAAGGCCUCCGGAAUGUAGCGCCCUUCGGGGCGCCUUAUAGCCGGGGGUGCAAUGCGGCCAGCCUGGACCGAGGAACGCGCUUCGGCACGGACGCUGGCAUAAUGGUUGUAAACGACCCGUCUUGAACAACCGGACCAAAAGGGCCG
rnacentral:rRNA from 1 species